CGCCAAAUAACUACGAGUAAAAACUUAAAAUUUAAAAGACUUGACGGUACUUCACACCAACCUAGAGGAGCCUGUCUAAUAACCGACAAUCCACGAUUAACCCAACCCGCUCUAGCCUAACAGUCUAUAUACCGCCGUCGCCAGCUUACCUUGUGAAAGAAAUAAAGUAAGCCCAAUAAUACCCCUAUUAACACGACAGGUCGAGGUGUAACCAAUGAGGGGGUCAAAGAUGGGCUACAUUUUCUUUACUCAGAAAACACGAAUAAACUAUGAAACUAGAAACUGAAGGAGGAUUUAGCAGUAAGCCAAGAACAGAAUACUUAGCCGAAACCAACGCAAUGAAGUGCGCACACACCGCCCGUCAUCCCUGUAAAACACACUAAACAUUCAUAAACACCCAUUACCACUAAAACAGGGCAAGUCGUA
rnacentral:rRNA from 1 species